rnacentral:misc_RNA from 1 species
GAUGAAGAACGCAGCGAAAUGCGAUAAGUAAUGUGAAUUGCAGAAUUCAGUGAAUCAUCGAAUCUUUGAACGCACAUUGCGCCCGCCAGUAUUCUGGCGGGCAUGCCUGUUCGAGCGUCAUUUCAACCAUCAAGCCCCCGGCUUGUGUUGGGGACCUGCGGCUGCCGCAGGCCCUGAAAACCAGUGGCGGGCUCGCUAGUCACUCCGAGCUUAGUAAUACAUCUCGCUCAGGGCGUGCUGCGGGUUCCGGCCGUUAAAAAGCCUUAUUUACCCAAGGUUGACCUCGGAUCAGGUAGGAAGACCCGCUGAACUUAAGCAUAUCAAUAAGCGGAGGA